rnacentral:rRNA from 1 species
ACUCCUACGGGAGGCAGCAGUGAGGAAUAUUGCGCAAUGGGGGAAACCCUGACGCAGCGAUGCCGCGUGAGUGAAGAAGGCCUUCGGGUCGUAAAGCUCUGUCAAGUGGGAAGAACAGCUUUGGGACGAAUAAUCUCGAGGCCUGACGGUACCACUGAAGGAAGCACCGGCUAACUCCGUGCCAGCAGCCGCGGUAAGACGGAGGGUGCAAGCGUUAUUYGGAUUUAUUGGGCGUAAAGAGUGUGUAGGCGGCCGGUCAAGCCAGAUGUGAAAGCCCAGGGCUUAACCCUGGAAGUGCAUUUGGAACUGGUUGGCUUGAGUUCGGGAGAGGGAAGUGGAAUUCCGGGUGUAGAGGUGAAAUUCGUAGAUAUCCGGAGGAACACCGGUGGCGAAGGCGACUUCCUGGACCGAAACUGACGCUGAGACACGAAAGCGUGGGGAGCAAACAGGAUUGGAUACCCUGGUAGUCCACGCUGUAAACGAUGGGCGCUAGGUGUGGGGGGUUUUUAAUCCCUCCGUGCCGCAGCUAACGCAUUAAGCGCCCCGCCUGGGGAGUACGGCCGCAAGGUUAAAACUCAAAUGAAUUGACGG